GACGAACGCUGGCGGCGUGCCUAAUACAUGCAAGUAGAACGCUGAAGAGAGGAGCUUGCUCUUCUUGGAUGAGUUGCGAACGGGUGGGUAACGCGUAGGUAACCUGCCUUGUAGCGGGGGAUAACUAUUGGAAACGAUAGCUAAUACCGCAUAACAAUGGAUGACACAUGUCAUUUAUUUGAAAGGGGCAAUUGCUCCACUACAAGAUGGACCUGCGUUGUAUUAGCUAGUAGGUGAGGUAAUGGCUCACCUAGGCGACGAUACAUAGCCGACCUGAGAGGGUGAUCGGCCACACUGGGACUGAGACACGGCCCAGACUCCUACGGGAGGCAGCAGUAGGGAAUCUUCGGCAAUGGGGGCAACCCUGACCGAGCAACGCCGCGUGAGUGAAGAAGGUUUUCGGAUCGUAAAGUUCUGUUGUAAGUCAAGAACGGGUGUGAGAGUGGAAAGUUCACACUGUGACGGUAGCUUACCAGAAAGGGACGGCUAACUACGUG
rnacentral:rRNA from 1 species